GGGCCCGCACAAGCGGUGGAGCAUGUGGUUUAAUUCGAUGAUACGCGAGGAACCUUACCAGGGCUUAAAUGCAGAAUGACAGAUUGGGAAACCAGUCCUUCUUCGGACAUUUUGCAAGGUGCUGCAUGGUUGUCGUCAGCUCGUGCCGUGAGGUGUCAGGUUAAGUCCUAUAACGAGCGCAACCCCUAUUCUUAGUUGCCAGCGGGUAAUGCCGGGAACUCUAAGGAGACUGCCAGCGCAAGCUGCGAGGAAGGUGGGGAUGACGUCAAAUCAUCACGGCCCUUACGUCCUGGCUACACACGUGCUACAAUGGUAUCUACAACAGGAAGCAAAACAGCGAUGUUAAGCA
rnacentral:rRNA from 1 species